AUUGAACGCUGGCGGCAUGCUUUACACAUGCAAGUCGAACGGUAACAGGCCUUCGGGUGCUGACGAGUGGCGCACGGGUGAGUAAUGCAUCGGAACGUACCCAGAGGUGGGGGAUAACGCAGCGAAAGCUGUGCUAAUACCGCAUGUGAUCUGAGGAUGAAAGCGGGGGACCGAGCAGCAAUGUUUGGCCUCGCGCCUUUGGAGCGGCCGAUGUCGGAUUAGCUAGUUGGUGGGGUAAAGGCCUACCAAGGCGACGAUCCGUAGCUGGUCUGAGAGGACGACCAGCCACACUGGGACUGAGACACGGCCCAGACUCCUACGGGAGGCAGCGGUGGGGAAUUUUGGACAAUGGGCGCAAGCCUGAUCCAGCAAUGCCGCGUGCGGGAAGAAGGCCUUCGGGUUGUAAACCGCUUUUGGCAGGAACGAAACGGUGUCCGCUAAUACCGGGCGCUAAUGACGGUACCUGCAGAAUAAGCACCGGCUAACUACGUG
rnacentral:rRNA from 1 species